GUCUGUCCUGCUCAGUGAUUUUUAAAUAGCCGCGGUAUUUUAACUGUGCUAAGGUAGCAUAAUAAUUAGUCUUUUAAUUGGGGUCUGGAAUGAAUGGUUAAACGAGAAAUUUACUUUAUUAAUUUGAUUUUUUUGAAUUUUAUUUUUUGGUUAAAAAUCCAAAAUUUUUAAGAGGGACGAUAAGACCCUAUAGAUCUUAAUAAUUUUAGUUAUUUUUUUUAUUUAGUUGUUUUAAAUUACAUAAUUAUUUUUUAUUUUGUUGGGGUGACAACUAAAAUUUUAAACUUUGGUUUAUUUUCACAUUUUUAUUUUUGGAUUUAUGAUCCUUAUUUUUUGAUUUUAAGAUAAAGAUACCUUAGGGAUAACAGCGUUAUAAAUUUGGAGAGUUCUUAUUGAUAAAUUUGUUUGCGACCUCGAUGUUGGAUUAAAAUUUUAUUGUGGGGUAGGUUCUACAAUUUUGGGUCUGUUCGACCUUUAAAAUUUUACAUGAUCUGAGUUCAAACCGGAA
rnacentral:rRNA from 1 species